UAGAGUUUGAUUCUGGCUCAGGAUGAACGCGGGCGGCGUGCCUAAUACAUGCAAGUCGAGCGAACAGACGAGGAGCUUGCUCCUCUGACGUUAGCGGCGGACGGGUGAGUAACACGUGGAUAACCUACCUAUAAGACUGGGAUAACUUCGGGAAACCGGAGCUAAUACCGGAUAAUAUAUUGAACCGCAUGGUUCAAUAGUGAAAGACGGUUUUGCUGUCACUUAUAGAUGGAUCCGCGCCGCAUUAGCUAGUUGGUAAGGUAACGGCUUACCAAGGCAACGAUGCGUAGCCGACCUGAGAGGGUGAUCGGCCACACUGGAACUGAGACACGGUCCAGACUCCUACGGGAGGCAGCAGUAGGGAAUCUUCCGCAAUGGGCGAAAGCCUGACGGAGCAACGCCGCGUGAGUGAUGAAGGUCUUCGGAUCGUAAAACUCUGUUAUUAGGGAAGAACAAAUGUGUAAGUAACUAUGCACGUCUUGACGGUACCUAAUCAGAAAGCCACGGCUAACUACGUGCCAGCAGCCGCGGUAAUACGUAGGUGGCAAGCGUUAUCCGGAAUUAUUGGGCGUAAAGCGCGCGUAGGCGGUUUUUUAAGUCUGAUGUGAAAGCCCACGGCUCAACCGUGGAGGGUCAUUGGAAACUGGAAAACUUGAGUGCAGAAGAGGAAAGUGGAAUUCCAUGUGUAGCGGUGAAAUGCGCAGAGAUAUGGAGGAACACCAGUGGCGAAGGCGACUUUCUGGUCUGUAACUGACGCUGAUGUGCGAAAGCGUGGGGAUCAAACAGGAUUAGAUACCCUGGUAGUCCACGCCGUAAACGAUGAGUGCUAAGUGUUAGGGGGUUUCCGCCCCUUAGUGCUGCAGCUAACGCAUUAAGCACUCCGCCUGGGGAGUACGACCGCAAGGUUGAAACUCAAAUGAAUUGACGGGG
rnacentral:rRNA from 1 species